rnacentral:lncRNA from 1 species
GUAUAACAGUUUUCAGUAAACUUCUUGCAUCAAAUUGAAUAUACAUCUGUACAAUAGACAUAUUAACAUUGGCAUAGUGAUAAGUAUUUCUCUUUCAAUGCACUAAUGGUUAACUAGAAUUGGAAUAAGAGGAGAUGUUGAAUGAACAGAAACAAAAUAGUAACACAACAGUAAUACCCCCCAUCCCCACCCCACCCCCAAGAAAAAAGACAAUAUUAUAAAAAAAAAACAACAACAACAGUACAUUAUAUACAUGAUACAUAAAAUUGAGAAUGGAAAUGGGGAAUGUGCCAAAGAGACAACAACCCGACCAUAGAAAAAAAAAAAUAAAAAAAAAAAAAAAACAACAGCAGAAGGUCAGCAACAGGUCUUCAAUGUAGCGAGAAAUUCCCGCACCCGGAGGGUGUAUAUAUGUCAAGCUAGAAAUUGUCCAAAUGUUGACAAUUUUGGAAGAUUUCAGGAUUUUGUACCAAAGUCUUUGAACUCCAUAAUAGACAAAAAAAACUUUGAUAACCAAGGAUAAACAAUGACAGUAGAGUUUAUCUGUAAAUAAAAGUAUUAGAAAGUAGUUUGAGUAAGUUCAUGUAAUAUGCUGAUAUAUGCAGAAUUACGGUAUUAUUUAAUAUAUUGUGGUAGUUAUUGUUAUUUCUUAGAAUAUAUGUGAUGAGUACUAAUACACUAAUCAGAGCCUGAC